GCAGGAGUGUGAUGACGUCAUCGCUUCUCGUGAUUAGCUGUCAGCAUCCACAACUGUAUUACAACUGUAGCAGUUAGCAAGAUAAGAUCAGUUUAGAUCGAUUUAUUAUAUGUAUUUAAACUCACAGUGGUCGACGGUGGCCAAAUAAGUGGUGCAUAUAUACAUACAAGAGCAUAAUUAUCAGCCUUGAAGUGGAUUAAAGGGACACAAGGAGAAUUUGACUGAUCUUAUAUAACUGUUAGCAUUAGCCUCCAUGGCUGCAGGAAAGGACUUGCUGUUGGAAGAGAAACGAGGAGCAACUACAGACUUUGCCUGCAAAGAAGCAGUCAGUGUCAAAUUGAGAUGCACUUCAGCACCUGAACAACGUGAGAACUCCCCUCGCCCUGCACACCCAUCUCCAGCUUAUGCAAGCAUUUCAACAAUUAGAUCACAGGAGAUGCGGACAUACAGUGGAUAGCAGCCAAGCAGGAGUGGAGUGAAGUCCGCACUGAGUCGCAGCUACAUCGUGAUGUGCGGAUAAUAAGGUGAUGCAGCCGGCGUUGGCGCUGUCGGACAAGAGCUCCAGGAGGAACUGCCAAAGUUGGAUCUGCCCUGAACCUGACGAGAAGAAGGAGAAGUGGCGUUGUUCAGUGGGACUCCGCAUGGACGGCCACCUCCGAGUUGAGGGUUCGUUUUGAUACUCCACAGUCUUACCUGGAUUGGCUAGGCGACUACUGGUUGGACCAAGUAUCUGUGUUGCAAGUGCUGCUUACUACCUGGCUGAGCUCUGGGCUGCUCGGCUGUCUUGGUUACAUUCUGAGUCACCACCGGUGAGCCUGCAGGUGAAAAAUGGAGGAAGUGAGGAAGAGUUAGAAUUGGAAUUGGACAUACUGGCUACCAUUCAUUAAGACUGGGAGGCGGUGGAGGUGUGAGAGUGAUGACAGAGGUUGCGUCAGGAAUCGACACACACUGCUUUCAAGGUCAAAGCAAUCCCUUUUCCCAUCAGCGGAAGCAGAAUAUUUGGAAGGAACUCAAGUUGACGAGGCAAGUUUGUAGAAAAAAAAAUACGCAACACUUUUGUUUUUGCUUCCCUUUUUCAUGAGCAGAACUCAAAAGAUGUAGAGAUUUUCUAUGUACACAAAAUACCUCUUUGUGUCCCUCUCUCAAAUAGUGUUCACAUAUCUGUCUAAAUCUGUGUUAGUGAUCCGCCUCUCAGGUGUGCCGUAGGCUGGCUACAAUAAAAGGCCACCCCAAAAGUUCAGCUAAUGAAAAUUAGAGCAAAAACAUGCAAAAUGACACAAACAAUUAAUUUUUGUAUUGUGUAUUAUGUACAAUUUGCAAAUGGUUAUCAUAGUGAACCUGUGUUUAUGAUUAAUCAAAACAAACAAAAAAAAAACAUACAAAUCAUUGAAUUAGUAACUUGAAUACCACAAGGAUUGGAUCCACUUUCAUGGAACUGCUGCAAUCCAAUCAAUCUCUGUGCAAUACUGCCCCCUUGUGGACAAAUAUAUGUUCACACCUUAAUCAAAGGCCAAAUGCUCUCCCAUGUAAGCCUAAAUUAAACCAUUUUAAAGACAAUCCAACUCUUGAACUCUGGAAGUCAACUUUCACUCAUUUCAUAACUUUAAUAAGUUAUUUAAGUGGCUGUUUAAUGUUGGAUGUUAUUUAAUGGGGUCAUUCCUACUGCGGAAUCAUCCUCUUUGAUCUCUGUCAUCUUGUCCGUCUUUUAAAAGUGCCAAUAUGUCACCAAAGGACUCAUUUGGUGAGAGCGAUAUUCAAUGUGUAAGUGUAAAAUAGCAACAGACGGAUCCAAAUACGGACUUCAACUUACAAAAAGGUAAUUAUGAAUGAUAAAAAGAGGCGAGAAAUAGCCGGGUUGAGAAAAAAGGAGCAAAAAAGGGACAAAGAACAAGCGCAGCGCCGUGGCUCGGAGGGCCUGUCAGGUCCAAUCUGGUGGGCCGACAGGAGAGCCGAGGAGCAACGAGUAUAGGGGCGAGUCCUGGGAGACUUGUAUUUCCUGCCUACCUCGCCUGUAGACAACCUCUCUUUGUUUUACUCCCCCCCCCCCCCCUUUUUUUUUUAACCUCCUCAACUCAACGCCAACCCCUAACCACCCCCAAGCCAACACAACAUCCACUCCACACCACCUUUGAAGGAACCCAACAAGGCACAGAAGAUGGCGGAGACAAGGAUGGAGGAAGAACAAGUCAUCAAAGGAAAGAGAAUAUUGGAAAAGAAGACAAAAUGAUUGGAAUUUUAAAGGAAAACAAACUGUGGUUGGGAAUAGCCAAGCUCGUCUUUUCGGGGCGCAUUUCCAACAUGAAAGUACAUCACGUCUGAAAAGGAGUAAGAGGAAGCACAAGUUUGUAUGCUGAAUAAAAGAAAAAAAGGAAUGAAAUCAUCCUCGUAGGUAUUGUAAAGUAGCUGGCAGCAGGUUAAACCACAAAGCACGAUGUCGCAACGCAGCGCUGAAGAAUGAAACAAGAAUGAAGCAGCGCCGCCGCAAAAUGUACAACACCGCAAUCCACUUUUCUGCUGUUUUUGUGGAGCUGACCACGCCGAGCGCUUGCAAAACACGAAGCGAGAAGCAGCGGCUUGUAAAACAUACAAGUGAAGUGAAGGGGGGGGGGUUAAGUAAGUAAGUAAGUAAGCCAGCCAGCCAGCUAGCCCAGCCACGCAGACACGGACCCGAACGUGCAACAACCCCCUCCCUCCUUUGCCUUCAUUUUUCCAGGCUUUGCUCUGACGGCGACUCCAGCCAUGUUUCCACUCUUGUCUGGGGCGUGGUGCACGCUCCUGGGAGACUUUGACUGCACGACCAGUUAGUCAAAACAAGGCCUGAGUGCUAGACGGAGAGGGCCAGGAAGGUGCAAAGACAACAGGGUUGCAAUCAUAGCACUAACCGAGAGGGCGUUCUACAUACUGUGUAGUACGUGAAAGACAACGAGAGAAAUUCAAGCCAUGUCGAGUCACGCUAUGGCUGAAACACAUGGGCAAGAAAAAGCGGUAGCCUUGACUCAGCCUUCUGACUGACUUUUUAAGGCACACAGAAUAUUGCAUAGUAUGACUUUAUAAACAUGAUACCUACCAAAAGAAAGGUUCAUCACAAAAAAAAGUUUGUUUCUACCCUUUUCCGUUUGUUCUGUUCCAAUAAGUUUCAGGAAAAUAUCAGUUCCCGACUAAAAAAAAAAAAAGCUUUUAGUGAAAAGAAAAUUUAUAUUAUAUUCAUUCAUUUUCUACCGCUUCUCCUCACAAGGGUCGCAGGGGGUGCUGGAGCCUAUUCCAGCUGUCUUUGGGCGAGAGGCGGGGUACACCCUGGACUGGUGGCCAGCCAAUCACAGGGCACAUAUAGACAAACAACCAUUCACCAUUCAUACCUAUGGACAAUUUGGAGUCGCCAAUUAACCUAGCAUGUUUUUGGAAUGUGGGACGAAACCGGAGUACCCGGAGAAAACCCACGCAUGCACGGGGAGAACAUGCAAACUCCACACAGAGAUGGCCGAGGUUGGAAUUGAACUCAGGUCUCCGAGCUGUGAGGCCUGCAUGCUAACCACUCGUCCGCCGUGCAGCCCAAAUACUAUAUAUCUAGCCUUGCUAGCUACUCGUACCA